CAAGCUUUAGGCUUCAGCAAAAAAAGGCAGAGAAUGGGGGGAGAGAAGUCGGAGACCGGAGCCCGGUGGUUGUCAUUGUCGGCCUGUCGGGAAGGGGGUCGUAGCCUGAGCUUCGACUUCGCGUCGGCGCCGAGAAGGGGGCAGACUGGAGAGAAGCCAAGAAGCGAAGAACGGGAGAAGGGCCAAGGGGGGAGACCAGGAGAGAAGUCGAGAAGGGGGCCAGGCAGAGAAGGAUUAAAGGAUUUUCAGGCUUUAGCACAAAAAAAAGGCAAAGAAGGGGGAGAGAAGUCGAAGGUUGUCCAUUGUCGAAAAGGGGCCAUAGCCUGUGCCCUGUAGCCGUAGUCUAUCGGAAAG
rnacentral:lncRNA from 1 species